rnacentral:rRNA from 1 species
ACUACGGGUGGCAGCAGUGGGGGAUAUUGCACAAUGGGGGAAACCCUGAUGCAGCGACGCCGCGUGGGGGAAGACGGUCUUCUGGAGUGUAAACCACUGUCCCCAGGGACGAAAAUGACGGGACCGGGGGAGGAAGCGCCGGCUAACUACGUGCCAGCAGCCGGGGUAAUACGGAGGGAGCAAGCGUUGUCCGGAAUUACUGGGUGGAAAGGGAGCGUAGGCGGGGAGGCAAGAUGGGUGUCAAAACGACCGGCUCAACCGAUAGUCGCACUCCAAACUGCAGCUCGUGAGUGAAGUAGAGGCAGGCGCUCUUCCUCGUGUAGCGGUGACAUGCGUCGAUAUUAGGCGGAACCCCGCUUGCGAAGGCAGCAUGCCGGCUUCCGACUGACGCUGACGCACGAAUGCGUGGGGAUCGAACAGGCUUAGCUACCCCGGUAGUC